ensembl:lncRNA
AUGCAUGCUAAGUCACUUCAGUUGUUUCCGACUUUGUGCGACCCUAUGGACAGCAGCCCACCAGGCUCCUCUGUCCACGGAUUCUCUAGGCAAGAAUACUGGGGUGGGUUGUCAUUUCUUUCUCCCGUUGGCAAGACUGUGUCUAUGUGUAUUUUGUGGGGUCCUUGUGGAAGGCCCUAGCUGAAAAAGAGUUCACCCCCUUCCACCCAAUUUGAACGUUGCUGAGCUGACAGAUCUGACUUGUUCUUUGCACUGGAACGCAGAAUGGUUUCCACUGGGCAUGUGGUGUUGGGGUUUAGAUUCAGGCUUAUGUUUAUCUGCCUGUGUAUCUAUCCACACGCAUAUUAGUCGAAAAAGUAAAAAAAGAACACAAAUACUGAUCACUAUUAAUGUUGAGGUUUCUUUUUCUUCCUUUUUAAUCUCACAACUCUACAGGUGUCCUUAAUGGAGUGAGCUUGCUCACCCUCUUCUCCGACAUCACGGUUUUCAUGGCUGCCUAGCACUGUGUCAGAUGGCUUUACUGUAUUUUAUUGGGUUGUCCAAAAGGUUCACUUGGGUUUUCCUAUAAGAUGUUACGGAAGUACCAAUCCAGUAUUUAAUCAGUUCUCUCCUGCUGGUGUUCAGUUUUGAGAUUUUCACACUUCCACGCAACACCGCAGUGAAGAUCCUCGUGGGUAAGUUUGUGCGGGUCUGUGAUUAUUCUUGACUUCAGUGGGUAUGUCCAUAUAUUCUUGAGGCUUUCUUCUGUAUGGGGUCAGAGUCAUAGGAGGGACAUCUUCUGGACACCAGGGAAGCACACUGAUGUUCAGUGUCUGUUACACCAAAGGCGGAGUAGCGAGGCUGGAGGAAGGAGCUGGGAGGGGUCAUGCAGUUCCAUCUCAGGACAGUGAGGUGCCCCGAGAGUCCAGUGCCAGGCUGUGGGGACCUGCCUUAGGGUGUGCUCUCUUAUCCCUGUCACUCCUAGGUUUGGUCAACUUAUCAAUUCUAAUGUUGGGAGGAGUCUUCUGAUAUUUAAUACUAAGGGUCAGUUCAGUUCAGCCCCUCAGUCACGUCGAACUCUUUGCAACCCCAUGGACUGCAGCACACUAGGCCUCCCUGUCCAUCACCAACUCCCGAAGUCACAGGCUCAGUAGUUGUGGCACACAGGCUUAGUUGCUUCGAGGCAUGUGGGAUCUUGCUGGAUCAUGGAUGGAACCCGUGUCUCUUGCAUUGGCAGGCAGAUUCUUUACUACUGAGCCACUAGGGAAGCAGCCUCCUCCCCUGCCGCCCCUGCCACCAGCUUUAAAAAGACCUUUUUCUCUCUCUCUGAUUUUGCUAAUAGUCUCCUUGAACAUGUUAAGGGAGAUGAAGGAAAAGGAGAGGGCUUGGUUCUUGCUUGGGGGGGUAUGGGACCCAGGAGUGCAGCGCCCCCAAGGAUGACUAGAUCAGAAGUGCUAAAGCAGAGGGUGGAAGCUGGGGCGGGGCAGACGGGCACAGAAACACCUGUGGAGCCCUAGGCAGUGCUCCCUGGAGCUGCUCUCUGCUGAGAAUGUGGAGGAUUUUGUGCUCACACCGCACUUCACCGGUGAGGAGACUGAGAACCACCAAAUGUAAGUGAUUUUCCAGAGGUGCACACUUGGUUAAGCCGUGCCAGGUAAGAUGAUGAGACACUUUGAAAUAGGCAGAAAAGAUUACCAGAUGUCCUUCUCAUUGACUGUUGGGUGUUAACCCAUCACAUGUUUAUCUGUUUCUGUAGGAGUUUGUAGCUUUCGUGGUCUCUGAGCUGUUUUGUUAUUUUGGAAAUAGUAGAAAACUGAUUGUGAUGAAAACUAUUGUGGUCCCUGUGAUGCAAGUGAAUUUCUUUAGGUGAGGCCAGUUGGUAUCUUGUUGGGAGUGGGUGGGCUAAAAGCUGUAGUUGUGGCUGCACUUUGGAUUGGACUUUAAAUUGUGUAUAAUGUCUUACUGGUUCCCUCAUUAGUUAAUGAGUUAAAUCAUUGACAUGUAUUCAUGAGUUAAAUGAAAUCUUUGACAUCUGUCCGUCCACCUAACCUUCCUGUCAUUGAUCCACCUCCCACACACGCACUUAUUUUUCCUCAUGUCCAUUUACCCAUCCUUUUGUUCUUACAGACUCCAUUUAUUUACCCAUCUAUUCAUCUGUUUACCCCAUUUGCACCCAUCCAUCCAUACUUACUGUUGCCUCCUCCAGGCCCAACAUGUUGAAACAAAAUAAUAUAGGAAACCAGUUCCCUGCUCUUAAGGAGCCUACAGUCCAUCAGGAGAGGCAGGACAGUGGUCGCAGAAUAAUAUAUUUUCUGUGCCAAAUGUGCCCAGAGAAAGGGCAUUUAACCCAAUGUGAGGAACUUAGAAAUGCCUGCACUGUGCUCUUUGAAUUGAGCUUAAAGUUUAAUUAAGAUUUUGCAAGAUGGACAGGAUUGGUUGAUGUUCCAGGAGAGAGAGUAGCUUGCGUGUACAAUGGUGGUAUAGCUGUCAAGAGACCAAGGUAAUUUCAGAAACACAGGUAAUUUGGAAUAUUGGGAGCGCAGUUGAGUGUGAAUGACUCAUGUACUAUUUGAGAAGAUUGGAAUGCAGGUCUGGAGUGUUUCCCACACUAAAAAUUGAUUCUCCAACUCUCCACACAUCAAGUGGUUAUCCAACAACUUGGUUCAAUUCUUCAACUCCCCAGAGUUAGCACAGAUCCCACAGCUUAAAGGCACAGCACAGCAAGACUGCUCCCCACAUUAGUUAUCAGUUGCAAAACUACCCUUUGAUUAUAAAGAGAAAGUUCCCAUGGUCCUUUCCUUGGGUUCAGUAGUUUGCUAGAAUAGCUUGAAGAACUCAGGGAAACACUUUACUUAAGUUUAUCAGUUUCUUACAGAAUAUACAACUCAGGAACAGCCAGAGGGGAGAGAUGUAUAGGGAAAGGUGUGAAGGUGUGGAGUGGUAUGUGAAACCUCUGUAACCUCUCUGGGGGCACCACCUCCCUGCACCUCUAUUUGUUUGCCCACCAGGAAGUUCAUCAAGUCUCAUUGUUAUUCAGCUGAAUCUCCAACCCCCAUCCACUCCAUCCCCUUCCUAUAGGACAGUGAGUAUGGCUGGAAGUUCCAUCCCUGUAAUCACUUGGUAUUUCUGGUGACCCUAACCAUCCUGAGCUGUGUUAGGGCCCUUCUCGAAGUCACCCUACUAGCAAAAACUCAGGUGUGCUCGAAGGG